GUGCCAGCCGCCGCGGUAAUACAUAUGGGUCACGCGUUGUCCGGAUUUAUUGGGCGUAAAGAGCUCGUAGGCGGUUCAACAAGUCGGUCGUAAAAGUUUAGGGCUCAACCCUAAAAUGUCGAUCGAUACUGUUGUGACUAGGAUACGGUAGAGGUGAAUGGAAUUCCGGGUGUAGCGGUGAAAUGCGUAGAUAUUCGGGGGAACACCAAUUGCGAAGGCAGUUCACUGGACCGUGAUCGACGCUGAGGAGCGAAAGCUAGGGGAGCAAACAGGAGUAGAUA
rnacentral:rRNA from 1 species